CCUACGGGUGGCAGCAGUAGGGAAUCUUCGGCAAUGGGGGGAACCCUGACCGAGCAACGCCGCGUGAACGAAGAAUUUAUUCGUAAUGUAAAGUUCUUUUAACAGGGAAGAAAGAGAAAUUUGACGGUACCUGAAGAAUAAGCUCCGGCUAACUACGUUCCAGCAGCCGCGGUAAUACGUAGGGAGCGAGCGUUAUCCCGAAUUAUUGGGCGUAAAGGGUUCGUAGAUGGCAUUAUAAUUUUUUUGUAAAAAUGCUGGGCUCAACCCAGUAGGGCAAAAGAAACUGCAAAGCUAGAGUAUGACAGAGGCAAGUGGAACUACAUGUGUAGCGGUAAUAUGCGUAAAUAUAUGUAAGAACACCAGUGGCGAAGGCGGCUUGCUGGGUCGAUACUGACAUUGAGGCACGAAAGCGUGGGGAGCAAACAGGAUUAGAUACCCUUGUAGUC
rnacentral:rRNA from 1 species